rnacentral:lncRNA from 1 species
GGCAUCAUCCUUUUCGAAAGCAGCAAGACAGUUUCAAGAGAAAUAAGAUAGAGAAGGACCAUAUGCCCCAGUGCUUCAGUGAUAUGGGAGUAUUUCAGAGGGUAUUCCAAUUGGACGAAAUCCUGUUUGGUAUUGAAUUGGACAAGCAAAAGCCUCGGGGGUUCGGUACAACUCAUAAUUGGGUGAAGCGAAGUAUUGUCCUACUGGUCCACCAAUUUGGUUCGUCA